rnacentral:lncRNA from 1 species
CCAUAGAUCAUCUCUAUAGCCUUCCUCUUUGCCUAAUAAGCUUGGGAUAUUGAUAUUUAUGCAUUCAAAUCUUGCCUAAUUUGUACAACUAACUCACUUGACUUCCAAGAGGGCUGACUCUUGAAUCUUUCAAAUUACUUGUUGGCUAGGUAACUGGAUUUCAUAUUCUUAUUUUAAACUUUUCUAUAACAACUGUGCUCACCAUUAUAAGAUU